AUUCCAUGCCCCACUGCUCCCAGCCCUGGGUUCAGCCCCACGCAGGCGGAAGGAUCCGGAGCAGCCUCAGAGACCCACUCCGAGGUGACUUCUUGCAUUGUCAUCGAGAUGACAGGCCCUAUGGCUCCCAAUCUGGAAGCAACCUAUUUUACUUCCAAACAGCGUCACCGGUGGCGGAACGAAAACAGGAGAGAAAACCCUCUGCACUCCCAGCACAGGGCUGAGGAACCAGGAUGAACUCAGCCCUAAUGCAGUUUCUCAGUGGUUCACUGCCAAGCCCCGCAGUUCUAUUAGUAAUAACUUAAUACCUAAUAAUAUUACCAAUGUAACACUUAACCUUGAAGCCAAGCACCUGGACCCAGAAAAUCGGCAUUUAGCAAGGCUUCCAUUCAUUGUACUCGGCUUCUCCUUCAUGCCAGCUGAUCACAGCUCCUUCCCACCCGCUCCGAGGGACGCGGAGCCUCGUAAGAAAGCAGACAGAAAGGGAGCCUCGGCAGAAGUCCCCAGCUCUGGGCUCUCGGCACAUCAGGGCUCUCCUAAAGCCACCUUCAAACGUGCUGCGCUUCGCCGGAGGGAAAAACCCAGCCGAAGGAAAUGCAGCGUAGAGAUUUAUCCGUAUCCUCAACUACUCUUCAGCAUCUCUGCCAUCUCCCCGGCUUCCCCCAGCCGGUAUUUGCUUUUAUGCUUUGUCUCCCUCUGCUAGGCUCUGCUUUUCUGAUAUAGACAUCAGGAGGUUAAGGGCUCAAUUACCAACUCGGUGAAGCCUCAGCUUCGCGUCACUUCGGGUUUCUCUGCUGCUCUUUGGCAAUACACCACAAAAGCUGCUCUCCUCCUCGGCCUUCCCUGCCCUCACCUCUCACCGCCUGCUCCCCAUGUGUGCACCCACAGCUCUGCGUGGGGUGGAUGGGUGAGCAGGUGUGGGAGAUGGGAGCGUCAGCACCGAUAGCCCUGUGAGCGCCCAGCCAGGCUGCACGCGAGGCUUUCGCCUUCCGAAGCCUAAAGGAACAUCCACAUGGAACUGACAAAAUGGGAUUCGCGUGGUUCUAAUUAGCCCCAGCCUGUGGAAAAAUGGGAAGGAAGCGGCUCUUUGAUUAACGUUACAAACCAGAGAGGAAACAGAUUUUAGAAGUUAAAGUAGCAGCGCUGUGGAAUAUAGAAUCAUUACAGCGCUCAUUUAUGGUACCUGCUUCACUCAGAUGGGCUGGGGUUUCUUUGGGGUUUUUUUUCCACAAGAUGCAAGUAAAAGCUUUUGUUUAUGCAACUGCACUGCUCCCUUAUCUCCCAAGGAAUGUAUAUGGCCGGACCACGUAGGAAUCCUUCUGAAAAUGAAAUGAGCAAAACCAAAGAGGGCUGAUGGGCUGCAGAAGCCCCAGCACAGCGAUGGCAGCGGGGCAGUGCCAGCAGGGCAGGGAGCAGAGCUUGGGGCUGCUGCAGGCUCCUGGCAGGACGGGGCGAUUCGCAAGGAGCUCUGCAAAGUCACCGUGCAAGUUUGCUUGGGCUUGAAAAGAAAAAGGAAAUAAGUUUUUUUUUUUUCUUUUUUUUUUUUUUUCCAGCUAGCUUGAUUGUUUUGGGUGGAGCUCGAGCGUGUGUGUAUAUACGCCGUAUAUAAAAAUGAAUUACUAAUUCUUUCCUGGAAACUGUUUGAAUUGCAAUCUGUAAGAUACAAAAACACACCUUUAUUUUAACACUGAUUUUCACGCAGAUAGAAGAAGGGGGGGAGAGGGGGGGAAGGGGAAGAGUGACGGCAGGGAGCUUUUCCCAGGGGCUGGAUGACCCCCCAGCAGCAGCACUGCCCUGCAUUGCCCCACACAGCCCUGCAUCACCCCACACAGCCCUGCACAGCCCUGCAUUGCCCCACACAGCCCCACACUGCCUGCACAGCCCCACAUUGCCCUGCAUUGCCCCACACAGCCCCCGGCUGCGGCUCCGCUCUCUGCUCUGCUCAGGGCUCUGCUCUGAAACUGUGAGAAUGACAACGUCAUGUGUGCAGAAAGCUGACACUUGGAGCUUUUAAAAAGAAAUGAGGAAAAAUAAGCUGUUGACUUCUCGGUUAAAGUAUUUUCUUGUUCUAACUCAUGUUCUUAUGUCACUGGGCUAAAAAAAAAAAAGAGGGAGAGGGAGAGAGAGAUAUGACUUUCCUUGAAUGAUCUGUUUAACCUAAGCCAGAGGAAAAAAAAAGAAGUCAUUAAUUACUUAUGUGAGCUAUUGCUUCUGAAAGACAAUAAACCUGCCUGGUCGCCAUGGAUAUGACA
rnacentral:lncRNA from 1 species